rnacentral:tRNA from 1 species
GCCUGGGUGGCUCAGUCAGUUGAGUGUCUGACUUGGGCUCAGGUCGUGGUCUCGCAGUUUGUGAGUUCGAGCCCCACAUCGGGCU